rnacentral:sRNA from 1 species
GUCGUGAGAUGUUGGGUUAAGUCCCGCAACGAGCGCAACCCUUAUCUUAUGUUGCCAGCGCGUAAUGGCGGGGACUCGUGAGAGACUGCCGGGGUCAACUCGGAGGAAGGUGGGGAUGACGUCAAGUCAUCAUGCCCCUUAUGUCCAGGGCUUCACACAUGCUACAAUGGCCGGUACAAAGGGCUGCGAAGCCGUGAGGUGGAGCGAAUCCUUUCAAAGCCGGUCUCAGUUCGGAUCGGGGUCUGCAACUCGACCCCGUGAAGUCGGAGUCGCUAGUAAUCGCGGAUCAGCAACGCUGCGGUGAAUACGUUCCCGGGCCUUGUACACACCGCCCGUCACGUCAUGAAAGUCGGUAACACCCGAAGCCGGUGGCCUAACCCCUUGUGGGAGGGAGCCGUCGAAGGUGGGAUCGGCGAUUGGGACGAAGUCGUAACAAGGUAGCCGUACCGGAAGGUGCGGCUGGAUCACCUCCUUUCUAAGGAGCACCACGAGACCCGGCCGGCCCCGUAAAUCGCGGGAUCAGCUGAUUGUCGGGCGAUUCGUUGGAUGGCCUGUUCUCUGUAGUGGAGGCGGGUCUGGUGCACACAACAAACAUUUAUGUGCCGGAUCGGGAUUCAGCUUUCGGGCUGGGUUUUCGGUGCACGGCUGCCAGACACACUAUUGGGCUUUGAGACAACAAGCCCGCGGACUGGCCUCGUUGGAGGUUGGUGCCGGCCCUUGAGGUGUCCUCUGCACGGUGUGUGGGGGUUCGGAGGGGGUUCUUGUUGUUGCCCUGCUUUGGUGGUGGGGUGUGGUGUUUGAUUUGUGGAUAGUGGUUGCGAGCAUCUGAGCGCAUCGGCCUCGUUGUGGGGUGGGUGUGUUCGGUGUAAUGCAAAUUUUUCUGAUACUCGCAUGCAUUCUUUCGGGGGUGUGUGUGGGUGAUGACUCAUUUUUUGGUUUUGUGUUGUAAGUGUUUAAGGGCGCAUGGUGGAUGCCUUGGCACUGGGAGCCGAUGAAGGACGUGGGAGGCUGCGAUAUGCCUCGGGGAGCUGUCAACCGAGCGUGGAUCCGAGGAUGU